CUGGCUUUGGCACCAAGUAUUGUACAACUGGAACUAGACAAAGAAGAUUAGCAUGGCCCCUGCAAAAGGAUGACAAGUUAUUUGUGAAUCGUUCCAAAUGUUU
ensembl:snRNA U6 U6 spliceosomal RNA